rnacentral:rRNA from 1 species
AUUGAACGCUAGCGGCAUGCUUAACACAUGCAAGUCGAACGGCAGCGCGGGGAGCUUGCUCCCUGGCGGCGAGUGGCGGACGGGUGAGUAAUGCGUAGGAAUCUACCUUGUAGUGGGGGAUAACCUGGGGAAACUCGGGCUAAUACCGCAUAAUCUCUUUGGAGCAAAGCGGGGGAUCUUCGGACCUCGUGCUAUAAGAUGAGCCUACGUCGGAUUAGCUUGUUGGUGGGGUAAUGGCCUACCAAGGCGACGAUCCGUAGCUGGUCUGAGAGGACGAUCAGCCACACUGGGACUGAGACACGGCCCAG